UCCAGAGUCACCAUGUGAUCGCGAGAUGAGGACACCAAUGGAAGGCAUCCUAAAUAAGAUAAGUCUUAUAAAAUAUAUAGAUUUAUGAUAAUUAAGACUGAGCUAACAGAUGGGAGAUCCUAGUCAUUGGCCAAGCAGCAUUUGUACCUAAUAUAAGUCUCUGUGUAUUAUUUUGUUCAUCCACGUGGCGGGCAUAACUCAAGUGGGUGGCAGAAAGAUUUAUCAUAACACUGACAUUCUAAAAACUUCUGUCACUUAAUCAGAUAAAGGAGCCAGUGUUUGAAUUCCAAUACAUUUGACUUGAGAGCCCCAAGCCCUAAAGCACUACACUCUACUUUUCUUUUUCUUGACAUGUUGAUAAUAGAGAGCAAUGACAUUGUAUGAUAAGAGUGGAUCUUUACCUCUGUUGUGUUCUUCCCAAGUCAGCAGCCUCUGUAUUACCAUGAGAAAUGCAUCAGACAAAAACCACUGAAGGAAUGCUGUAGUCUUCCAAAUUGUCACAGCCAUGAAAAAUAAGAACUCGGGCGACAUCUGCAGAACUGACACAAACAGGCACUCCAAAACUCCGUUUCACCACAAAAACAAUGCAUAAUAAGCAAAGCAUCCAUUAUCAACUUUUCCUGAACUGUGGAUACCCAAAGCUCACAGAAAAGGGAGUUGUGCUUAGCAAUAAUAACCAUCUGCACUGUGACCAUGGAUGUUUCUAGCAUUUUCACCUACCCUGGACAUAGCCCAUUAUUCUCUACUUCAGCAGCAAACACAAACAGAGCAGUCCAAAAUCCUGGAGCAAGUCCUCAAUGCUGAAGGGAUCAAAAAUACAUGUUAUUCUCAAAGACUUGUGUUGUUAUUGUUGUUGUUUAUUUGCCUUGUAAUUCCCGGAAAAAUGAUGCAGAGUGUUUAUUUAAAUAGUCUAACUCAGAUUCUGAGAUGACUGAGGGGCAAUUAUUGAAAUAAUUUAAAGUAACUAUAUCAGUCACUACCACCUGGAGCCAGGCUUAACAGUUAAGGCAAACAAUAAGCUAGCCUGCAAUCUUUAGAGGAAAGGCUGGGGAUGAAAUGCUGUGAUGAAUAGUUUCUGAAAAGUUUACUCAUACGCUUAGAAAUCUAGAAGGCUUUGUGCAUGCGCCAGACUAGGUGCACACCUGCAGAAGAGCUCACAAGUGCUCUUACAUAUGCCUGAUGAUGUACACUUUCAUAUAAUUUAAAGAAAGCUGUGGGAAGUGACAUUGCAGUUGGUAGAUCCAUAUAUCUGAAACUAUUCAAGUUUCUAAUCUUAGCCAUGCCUAGUUAAAAUGUAGCUAGUUAAAAUUCUCAGUGAACACUGGCCCAAUCUUCUAUCUCUGCCUUUCACUGUUCCUUGUCUAUUUAAUUGGCAUGUUGAGAUGGGUGACCGAGCCUAGCCUGGUAGAGCUGCCAGAGCAGGGGCUUUUUGCCUGAAGCCAAGUCAGGAGCCAACAUCAGACACUCAUAGCAGCAGUUCAGCUCCAAACAAAAUAGGAGAAUGAAUGGCCCCAUGCAGCUGCUAGGAUUGCUUUUAUUCCAGGGCCUCUUUCUUUCCUUUCUACACCAGUCAAUAUUGGCCAUUUUCUACUCCUCAGAGUUGCAGACAAACGAGUGUUCAGACUUGAUGUGCCCACAAGUUGGACCCAUAGUGAGUUCCUCACAACUGGUGCUUUGGGAGCCUUAUUCUUGCUUUACCUUAUCAGAAGUUGUUUUUAACUAUUUGAGAAGCAAGCAUUUGUCUGACAUGCAUUGUCUUUGAGGAGCCCUUUUGAGCCCAUCGGAAGUUAUGUUGAACUAUUUGGACAUCUACUGCUAAAACAGGAAAUAUGGGUUCUGUCAUUUUAUGUUGCUAACUAGCUGAAAAAGAGAAAUUAUAAUAGAGAAACAAGCAUGUUUAAUAGGUCUAUGUUUACAUUUGUGUAACUGUAAGGAAAAGUAAGUUAGUAGUACCUUGGUGCCCCCAAGGAAAAAUGUCUAGCUGACUAGUGUUUUAUAAUUUUAUGGUGACUUAUCUAUGAAUAUGAUCCGAAUUAAUGUGACUGUUUUAUAUGUCUGUUUGUAAUUCAAAACUUAAUCUUCCUCCAGACUUCCUGAAAAUAACUCAGUAGCAAACCUGUAGCCACUUUAAUUUUUGCAUUUUUAACUAUCUGGUGAUAAGAUUACAACUCUUGGCAUGCCUAAUUUAAAAUAUGUAUGUGCGAAUACAGUUUUAUGAGUACAAACAUUUUUAGGAUUCUUUUAGUCCCUGCAAUUGUAGUAUUAAUGUGUAGGUAGAGUUUAUUGCCUGACUAUCUGUUGUUUUUUUUUUUCCUUUUCUUUCCUCUUCUGCUGCAGCCUCUUUGGAAAAACAAAUGACUAUUCAGGUUUUAAUCUUAGCCAUGCCUAGUUAAAAUAACAUAUUUAGGAGAUAACUGUAGAACUUCUGGCUAAAGAAGAAAAUGGCUCCUUUUAAAACCAAGUUGCUACUGCCCAAUUGAAGUUUGCAAAAUUGACAAUGAAGUUUAGCCAUGCACAUAGGGGAUCUUAAUCUGUUUCAUUUCCAUCAUAAAUUUAACUUGAAACUACUUCUUUUUUCACAAUACAUUUAGGAUAACAAUAAAUGUGUGUGUAUAAAUUGUUAGUAUUAAAAAGAACAGAUCACAGUUGUAUUCUUAUCAAGUCUAUUAUGAAUAAGAUUACUAAUAAUUAAAACUAAUUAACAUGUGAAAUUCUAUCAGCAGAAAAUAUGAAACAAUUUAAGCUGUUUGGAUGAGAAAAAUCUAUUUUUAAAGGGCAUAAAGUACUUUAAAACAAAAUAACUUUGUCUAAGUUCAAAUGUCUGUGAAAGGUGUGUCAAAAUGCAAAUUUAGCUAAAGGAUUUUCUAAACUCAAAAUAUAGCACAACCAAUUGAAGUUAGAAUGUAAUAUUCUGAGUCCAAAGCAAUAAGGAUUCCUUAAAACUAUUGUUCUGAGGGACCAGCAAGCCUCCGCCCCUAACUGCAAGUUGAUAGCUUCUAGGGGAGGAUGGGUUAGUUGUCUUGAAGGGUAUGAACCCUAGGAGGUCCACCAUGCUCCAGUGGAUGGCUGCACACCCAGGAGUAUAUGGGAAGCACAAAUCGUAUUUAGUGGGCUAUUUAAAAAAAAUAAGACAUGGGCUAGUGAGAGAACUCAGCAGUUAAGAGCACUUUUUCUUGCAGAGAACCCUGGUUCAAUUCCCAGCACCUACAUAAAGUUCCAGAUGAUCCCCUUUUGACCCCCAAAAGGCACCAGGCAUGCAAGUGGUACAUAGACAUAGAUUCGAGCAAAACAUUCAUACACACAAAAUAAAAUAAAUGUAUCUAAAAAAGUUUAAAACACAAGACAUAAAGUUGGGGGAUGGAGUGAUGAAAUACAUUUGAGAGGAGCUGGAGGGGGAGUAGGGGUUAAGUAUGAUCAAAAGACAUUGUAUACAUAGGAAAGUCUCAAAGAACUAAUAUAAAUACAGUAUUUGUAAAAGAAAUGAAAAUAUUGUUCUGUAAUAAACAUUUGCAAAACCAUAAGCAGAAGGGGCAAAGAUGUGUUUUAUCAAGAUAAUCAUUUCAUCUUCUGCUGAUUUUGGCAGGCUCUUGACUACUACUCAGGAAACCGAAUUCUAACAAAUUCAAGGUCCAUUUAAGUUUCUGUUUGCAUUAAUGUCUUUUAGAUGAGCACUUUAUAAACAACUAUUAUUUCAAGAGGACUUUAUUACUUUUAAUCCCCUGCAUAUCCAUGACACGUGUACAGAUACAUGUCUGAAUUCUAACUAAAUAUUAUACAAAAGUUUGAAGACUUAAAGCACCUGAGCUUAAUAUAUACAAGUGCUCUGUUUUGUUCAAUAUGCCUUGCAUCUGGACUUUAAACUCAAAAAGGAGCAACAAAAUGGUUUGAAUAUUUCCGAUACUUAUAAGCAGAACUAUUCAGAUGAAGAAAUGCAAUUUUGAAAGUCUUUCGAUUUAAGACCUAGCUCAGUGGGUGAAGAUGCUUGCUGUCAAAUCUGAUGACCUGAGUUCAAUCCCAGGGACACACAUGGUGCAGCGAGAGAACAAAAUUUUCUUUCGAGUGUAGAAGCUGAAUUAGUAUGUGUAACUGGGAUGCUAAUUGUAAAUGUUAAAUGUGUUUAUGUUCAUUGGGUAUAUAAAAUUCAAAGCUUGAGACAACACUUUACCAAGACACUGCUCUCCAAUGUAAAACUGCUAAUCAUGUUGACCUUUUCAAGGACUUGUAUUGAUGAGUUCCUGUGUGUAUUGUGACUUAUCUUUAAGCAAAGAUAAAUAGACAUGCCCAGACAUUAUAUACUCCAAGAAAUGCUAUUCUGACCAUUAAACAGUAUUAGACAUUGGUCACCUAGGGGUAUGAUCUGUUAACAAUUAUAACCUUGUAGCACAAAUAAAUAAAAACCCAGAGGCAGAUGUUAGGAUUAAAGCUGAAGAUCAGAGAAGCAAAAUGGCCAACCAAUUGAGAGCUCUCACCUCUACCAAUGCUCAGACUGAAGGGGUAAUCCACAAACCUCAGACUGCACCUCCAGACUGCUCUGCUCCUCACCAAAUCUCAGACUGCUCCUGAGACUGCACUGAGCUCUUUAUGUUCUCUCUAGUGCUGGGAUCAAAGGCCUGAGUGUUAUGAUUAAUCUUUCCGCCAUAAGCCACUGAGCCCCACCGCCACGUGUGCACUCUAUGCCAGCCGCCCGCCUGAGUUAGGGCCCCAAUUAAUGCACAGAGAGACUUGUAUUAGGUACAAUGCUGCUUGGCUAAUGACUAGGAUUCUCAUCUGUUAGCUCAGUCUCAAUUAUCAUAAAUCUAUAUAUUUUAUAAGACUUACCUUAUCGGAUACCUUAUUGGUGUCCCUCCUUGCCAGUGGAUCACAUUGCGCCUCUGGAGGAAGAGCGGAGGGGGAAAAGGGACACUUCCUGUUUCUCCUUUCUUAAAUAUGAGUCUCCUUGCUAUGUCACUUCCUUCCUGGAACACCACUUCUCUACUACAUUUCCCAGAAUCCUCUUUGACUCCUAGUCCUGCCUAACUCCAUUGACUUUUCUUUUCUUUUUCUUUUUUUUUUCUUUUUGGUUUUUUGAGACAGGGAUUCUCUGUGUAGCCUUGACUGUCCUGAAACUCACUCCGUAGACCACCUGCUUCUGCCUCCAGAGUACUGGGAUUAGAGGCGUGUGCCACCAGCACCUUUUGCUGUUGAAGGCCAGAAGAUAAAUUGUUGUCCUAUACCUUCAAGUUCCCUUGAAUUCAAGAACAGCAAGGCCUGCAGGCAGGACGAACCAUCCCUACGAUGAGAAUAAUUAUCAGUGAUGAAAAUGCUACACCCUGGAACAGAUCAUAUUGUAAAAACCAAUAUAGUAUGUAGCCUACAAUUAUGCACCCUAACCUUCUGUCAUGAUGUGUCAAUAGAAGACAAAAAAAGAAUGAGUACUGGAUGUCUGUGUUCUCGGCUCUUUUUCAUAUAGCAUCAUAUUCUAGCUUAGUAAAUACAAUGUCUUACCACCCUAAGAAUAUUGCAUUUUCUUGGGAGCCUUCUCAAGUUUUGAAUUGUCUUAUGCCUUUCACUUGCUUCUCUUCUGUUUAUUUUGUCUUUUUCUUCCAUUUUGGAUACCUUUUUCCAGUGACUGAUAAUUAUUGGGUGUUUAUUUGCUUUUAAAUUCUCCUUUUAAAUAUUGAACAGAAUCACAAUGUAAAGGCAGGGCUUCUUCAUGUUAGAGCAAAAAUGUGGUCUCCUGGCUUUUUGUGCUCCCUGUCAACACUCCUUGUAUAUUCAGUUAUUUCUCCAGAGAAAGUUUCUUAAAGUAAGUGCUUGUGGAGGGAGUAGGCCACCCGA
ensembl:lncRNA